rnacentral:rRNA from 1 species
UACGGAGGGUGCGAGCGUUGUUCGGAAUCACUGGGCGUAAAGCGCGUGUAGGCGGCCUUGUAAGUCUGAUGUGAAAGCCCGGGGCUUACCCCCGGAAGUGCAUUGGAUACUGCAAGGCUUGAGUACCGGAGAGGAAAGUGGAAUUCCUGGUGUAGCGGUGAAAUGCGUAGAUAUCAGGAGGAACACCGGUGGCGAAGGCGGCUACCUGGACGGGUACUGACGCUGAAGCGCGAAAGCUAGGGGAGCAAACAGG